UGGGCAUAGAAAGGGACAGGUAUAAUAGAUGUUACAAAGGUAGAAUUCAUACAGCCUCACUAUUAGAUUGUAAACUUCUUGAGGGCAGGGACUACAUUUUACUUCUUUUUGUAUCCCUAGGACUUAGCAUGCCUGGGACAAAGUAGGCACUUAAUAAAUGUUUAUUGAUUAAUUGACUCAAUAACUUUGGAAAUGAAAUAUGAGGGAAAGGAAGGAGUAAAAGAUAACCCACUGUUACAAAUUUGAGUCAGAUGUUUUUUCUUUUCACCUGUCAACUUCUUUAUAAUAGAUUGCAAGUUAAAUGGAGGCUCCUUUUCUGUAUUAUUUGAGCAAAGUCUGUAGCUCUGAGGCUUGAACCAGCAAUGGAUAUUCUUGGCACUGUUGAGGACAGACUUAAUGAUCCUCCAGAUAAAAGCAGCCCCUCAGAACAAGUUGUUUUUAUUUAUCCUGGACAAGUUGCUCAGUAACAAAAUACAAAAA
rnacentral:lncRNA from 1 species